rnacentral:rRNA from 1 species
GACGAACGCUGGCGGCGUGCUUAACACAUGCAAGUCGAGCGGUAAGGCUCUUUCGGGGGUACACGAGCGGCGAACGGGUGAGUAACACGUGGGUGACCUGCCCUCAGCUCUGGGAUAAGCCUGGGAAACCGGGUCUAAUACUGGAUAUGACUCCAUGACGCAUGUUGUGGGGUGGAAAGCCUUGUGCGGCUGAGGAUGGGCCCGCGGCCUAUCAGCUUGUUGGUGGGGUGAUGGCCUACCAAGGCGACGACGGGUAGCCGGCCUGAGAGGGCGACCGGCCACACUGGGACUGAGACACGGCCCAGACUCCUACGGGAGGCAACAGUGGGGAAUCUUGCGCAAUGGGCGAAAGCCUGACGCAGCGACGCCGCGUGAGGGAUGACGGCCU